UGGACGUACAGGAGUUUUAUUCGGGCUGUGGAACCUGCAACUGAAGGCAAAGGAACCUGCAGAGUUUUCCUCUGCAGAAGUUUAUGUUAUGGAAGUGAUUUUAAACCUGCGCAGGAACAGAGCACACAUGGUGGAUUCACUCGAAAAGGCGGAAAGUCUGGUCAUGGCUUUCAUUUAUUAUCUCAAGCUUGUAGUCAAUACAACUGGAGGAAUCACGUUCGACCUGGCAGGGAAUGAUGACCUCCUAUCACAGCUCAGUAUGGCUUCCAUUGAUGAUGGAUAUCAAAACACGUACACCGGGGAACUGAUUGCCAGUAGCAGAACUGGGGACACCAUUGAUGAGGCAAGCCCACUAAUGAAUCAAGAACCACUUG